GGGCUAGUAAAGGUUUCGACGGGGGUUAUGCAGCUGGAGAAGCGAGUCGCAUGGUAAUGCGUUAAAUGGCCAAAUUAAAAUUAAACGCUGAAGAUAAUUUAGCAUACGCUGCCUAAGGGCAGCAGUCGGACUUAGUGCACCUGCACAUUAAGAACCCGGCUUCGACUAUGCAGGAAACGACACUGGCAAAGCUUUGAGCCUGUGGGCGUAUCAUGAAGCUACUGAAACCGUAAGGAUGUUUGUUUUCGUACGGCAGAGGGAAUGUCAAAGAACAAACUACACUCGUAGAAGUACAGGGAAUUGGCCUUCGGACACGAGUUCGACUCUCGUCUAGUCCAUAG
rnacentral:tmRNA from 1 species